rnacentral:rRNA from 1 species
GGCGAACGCUGGCGGCAGGCCUAACACAUGCAAGUCGAACGAACUCUUCGGAGUUAGUGGCGGACGGGUGAGUAACACGUGGGAACGUGCCUUUAGGUUCGGAAUAACUCAGGGAAACUUGUGCUAAUACCGAAUGUGCCCUUCGGGGGAAAGAUUUAUCGCCUUUAGAGCUGCCCGCGUCUGAUUAGCUAGUUGGUGAGGUAAAGGCUCACCAAGGCGACGAUCAGUAGCUGGUCUGAGAGGAUGAUCAGCCACAUUGGGACUGAGACACGGCCCAAGCUCCUACGGGAGGCAGCAGUGGGGGAUCUUGCGCAAUGGGCGAAAGCCUGACGCAGCCAUGCCGCGUGAAUGAUGAAGGGCUUAGGAUUGUAAAAUUCUUUCACCGGGGACGAUAAUGACGGUACCCGGAGAAGAAGCCCCGGCUAACUCGUGCCAGCCGCCGCCGUAA